GCCUACGGGAGGCAGCAGUGGGGAAUAUUGCACAAUGGGGGGAACCCUGAUGCAGCGACGCCGCGUGGGUGAAGGAGCACCUCGGUGCGUAAAGCCCUAUCGGCAGGGAAGAAACAGACGGUACCUGACUAAGAAGCCCCGGCUAACUACGUGCCAGCAGCCGCGGUAAUACGUAGGGGGCAAGCGUUAUCCGGAAUUACUGGGUGUAAAGGGAGCGUAGACGGUGAUGCAAGUCUGGAGUGAAAGGCGGGGGCCCAACCCCCGGACUGCUCUGGAAACUGUAU
rnacentral:rRNA from 1 species